rnacentral:pre_miRNA from 1 species
UUUGUACUCCCUCCGUCCCAAAAUUCUUGUCUUAAAUUUGUCUAAAUAUGGAUGUAUCUAGUUACAUUUUAGUGUUAGAUACAUCCGUAUCUAAACAAAUGUAAGACAAGAAUUUUGGGACGGAGNUAAAU